rnacentral:rRNA from 1 species
GGUGAACGCUGGCGGCGUGCUUAAGACAUGCAAGUCGAACGCAGUCUUCGGACUGAGUGGCGCACGGGUGAGUAACACGUAACUGACCUACCCCCAAGUCGCGGAUAACUGGCCGAAAGGUCAGCUAAUACGUGAUGUGAUGUCCCCUUUCUGGGGGGCCAUUAAAGGUUUACUGCUUGGGGAUGGGGUUGCGUUCCAUCAGCUAGUUGGCGGGGUAAAGGCCCACCAGGGCAACGACGGAUAGCCGGCCUGGGGGGGUGGCCGGCCACGGGGGCACUGAGACACGGAUCCCACUCCUACGGGAGGCAGCAGUUAGGAAUCUUCCACAAUGGGCGAAAGCCUGAUGGAGCGACGCCGCGUGAGGGAUGAAGGUUCUCGGAUCGUAAACCUCUGAAUCAGGGACGAAAGACGCGUAAGCGGGAUGACGGUACCUGAGUAAUAGCACCGGCUAACUCCGUGCCAGCCGCCGCGGUAA